AUUGAACGCUGGCGGCAUGCCUUACACAUGCAAGUCGAACGGCAGCACGGGUGCUUGCACCUGGUGGCGAGUGGCGAACGGGUGAGUGAUACAUCGGAACAUGUCCUGUAGUGGGGGAUAGCCCGGCGAAAGCCGGAUUAAUACCGCAUACGAUCUACGGAUGAAAGCGGGGGACCUUCGGGCCUCGCGCUAUAGGGUUGGCCGAUGGCUGAUUAGCUAGUUGGUGGGGUAAAGGCCUACCAAGGCGACGAUCAGUAGCUGGUCUGAGAGGACGACCAGCCACACUGGGACUGAGACACGGCCCAGACUCCUACGGGAGGCAGCAGUGGGGAAUUUUGGACAAUGGGCGAAAGCCUGAUCCAGCAAUGCCGCGUGUGUGAAGAAGGCCUUCGGGUUGUAAAGCACUUUUGUCCGGAAAGAAAUCCUUGGCCCUAAUACGGUCGGGGGAUGACGGUACCGGAAGAAUAAGCACCGGCUAACUACGUG
rnacentral:rRNA from 1 species